CUUUGUUAUUGAAGGCGUGUUGGUUUGUUUCCAAUAAAUGGGGAUGGUCACCUUUGCCGCGUUUAGGAGUCUGGGAAUAACAGAUCUCUUGUAUGUUGGUGUCGCCAUAGUGGUAUAGUGUAGAAGGAAAGUGGCUGGGGACUGUGGCAGGAGCUCAUCCGUAACCUCAUGUAUUAUCUUCCGGAUUCUUUCCCAGAAUGGUCUAAUGCGGGCGCAUGUCCACCAUAUGUGUGUGAACGUACCGGUCUCCUCCCUG